rnacentral:rRNA from 1 species
CCUACGGGAGGCUGCAGUGAGGAAUAUUGGUCAAUGGGCGUAAGCCUGAACCAGCCAAGCCGCGUGAGGGAUGAAGGUUCUAUGGAUCGUAAACCUCUUUUGUAAGGGAAUAAAGUGUGGGACGUGUCCUAUUUUGUAUGUACCUUAUGAAUAAGGAUAGGCUAACUCCGUGCCAGCAGCCGAGGUAAUACGGAGGAUCCGAGCGUUAUACGGAUUUAUUGGGUGUAAAGGGUGCGUAGGCGGCCUGUUAAGUCAGCGGUGAAAGUCUGUGGCUCAACCAUAGAAUGGCCGUUGAAACUGGUGGGCUUGAGUAUGUUUGAGGCAGGCGGAAGGCGUGGUGUAGCGGUGAAAUGCUUAGAUAUCACGCAGAACCCCGAUUGCGAAGGCAGCCUGCCAAGCCAUGACUGACGCUGAUGCACGAAAGCGUGGGGAUCAAACAGGAUUAGAUACCCUAGUAGUC